rnacentral:tRNA from 1 species
GUCCUUAUAGUUCAACGGAUAGAACAAACCCCUCCUAAGGGUUAGAUGUUGGUUCGAUUCCAGCUGGGGAUACCA